AGUGAACGCUGGCGGUAGGCCUAACACAUGCAAGUCGAACGGCAGCACAGUAAGAGCUUGCUCUUACGGGUGGCGAGUGGCGGACGGGUGAGGAAUACAUCGGAAUCUACUUUUUCGUGGGGGAUAACGUAGGGAAACUUACGCUAAUACCGCAUACGACCUACGGGUGAAAGCAGGGGAUCUUCGGACCUUGCGCGAUUGAAUGAGCCGAUGUCGGAUUAGCUAGUUGGCGGGGUAAAGGCCCACCAAGGCGAUGAUCCGUAGCUGGUCUGAGAGGAUGAUCAGCCACACUGGAACUGAGACACGGUCCAGACUCCUACGGGAGGCAGCAGUGGGGAAUAUUGGACAAUGGGCGCAAGCCUGAUCCAGCUAUACCGCGUGGGUGAAGAAGGCCUUCGGGUUGUAAAGCCCUUUUGUUGGGAAAGAAAAGCAGCAGGUUAAUACCCCGCUGUUCUGACGGUACCCAAAGAAUAAGCACCGGCUAACUUCGUG
rnacentral:rRNA from 1 species